rnacentral:rRNA from 1 species
AUUGAACGCUGGCGGCAGGCUUAACACAUGCAAGUCGAGCGGAGUGAUGGUGCUUGCACUAUCACUUAGCGGCGGACGGGUGAGUAAUGCUUAGGAAUCUGCCAUUUAGUGGGGGACAACAUUCCGAAAGGAAUGCUAAUACCGCAUACGUCCUACGGGAGAAAGCAGGGGAUCUUCGGACCUUGCGCUAAAUGAUGAGCCUAAGUCGGAUUAGCUAGUUGGUGGGGUAAAGGCCUACCAAGGCGACGAUCUGUAGCGGGUCUGAGAGGAUGAUCCGCCACACUGGGACUGGAACACGGCCCAGACUCCUACGGGAGGCAGCAGUGGGGAAUAUUGGACAAUGGGCGGAAGCCUGAUCCAGCCAUGCCGCGUGUGUGAAGAAGGCCUUUUGGUUGUAAAGCACUUUAAGCGAGGAGGAGGCUCUCCUAGUUAAUACCUAGGAAGAGUGGACGUUACUCGCAGAAUAAGCACCGGCUAACUCUGUGCCAGCAGCCGCCGUAA